UACGUAGGGAGCAAGCGUUGUCCGGAAUCAUUGGGCGUAAAGCGCGUGUAGGCGGCUUGGUAAGUCUGCUCUGAAAGCCCGGGGCUCAACCCUGGGAGGCGGGUGGAUACUGCUGAGCUCGAGUCCGGAAGAGGCGAGUGGAAUUCCUGGUGUAGCGGUGAAAUGCGCAGAUAUCAGGAGGAACACCGAUGGCGAAGGCAGCUCGCUGGGACGGUACUGACGCUGAGACGCGAAAGCGUGGGGAGCAAACAGG
rnacentral:rRNA from 1 species